rnacentral:misc_RNA from 1 species
GAAACGCGAUAGUUAAUGUGAAUUGCAGAAUUCAGUGAAUCAUCGAGUCUUUGAACGCACAUUGCGCCCCUCGGUAUUCCGUGGGGCAUGCCUGUUCGAGCGUCAUCUACACCCUCAAGCUCUGCUUGGUGUUGGGCGUCUGUCCCGCCUCCUUCGCGCGCGGACUCGCCCCAAAUCCAUUGGCGGCGGCCCUUGCCUCCCUCUCGCGCAGCACAUUGCGCUUCUCGAGGCGCGGCGGACCGCGUCCAGCAAGCAACCGUCACACCGUCUUUGACCUCGGAUCAGGUAGGGAUACCCGCUGAACUUAAGC